rnacentral:rRNA from 1 species
CCUACGGGGGGCAGCAGUGGGGAAUAUUGGACAAUGGGGGGAACCCUGAUCCAGCCAUGCCGCGUGUGUGAAGAAGACCCUCGGGUUGUAAAGCACUUUCAGUGAGGAAGAACGCCUGGUGGUUAAUACCCAUCAGGAAAGACAUCACUCACAGAAGAAGCACCGGCUAACUCCGUGCCAGCAGCCGCGGUAAUACGGAGGGUGCGAGCGUUAAUCGGAAUUACUGGACGUAAAGCGCGCGUAGGUGGCUUGAUAAGCCGGUUGUGAAAGCCCCGGGCUCAACCUGGGAACGGCAUCCGGAACUGUCAAGCUAGAGUGCAGGAGAGGAAGGUAGAAUUCCCGGUGUAGCGGUGAAAUGCGUAGAGAUCGGGAGGAAUACCAGUGGCGAAGGCGGCCUUCUGGACUGACACUGACACUGAGGUGCGAAAGCGUGGGUAGCAAACAGGAUUAGAUACCCUUGUAGUC